GACGAACCGUGCGAACGUUGUUCGGAAUCACUGGGCAUAAAGGGCGCGUAGGCGGGUCAUCAAGUCAGGGGUGAAAUCCCACGGCUCAACCGUGGAAGUGCCUUUGAUACUGAUGGUCUGGAGUGGGAUAGGGGCAUGCGGAACUGGUGGUGGAGCGGUGAAAUGCGUAGAUAUCACUAGGAACGCCGGUGGCGAAAGCGGCGUGCUGGAUCCCAACUGACGCUGAGGCGCGAAAGCCAGGGGAGCAAACGGG
rnacentral:rRNA from 1 species